GCUCCCCGGCGGGGACACUCAGUCGCGUCGGCACCGCGGAGCGGGCUGCGUCAGGUGGCUGGCCGGCGCGGCGCUCCCCUGCUCUCUGGCUCCGGGCUGCGGCGCGGCGGCUGGAGCGAGCCCCUGUCCCGGCGCGGGGCGGCGGCGGGCGGCCGGCAGGCGCUGCCUUGCGUGUGAGUGCACCUCACUCACAUGUGCUGGAGAAUCUGGUAAAAGCACCAUUGUGAAGCAGAUGAGGAUCCUGCAUGUUAAUGGGUUUAAUGGAGACAGUGAGAAGGCAACCAAAGUGCAGGACAUCAAAAACAACCUGAAAGAGGCGAUUGAAACCAUUGUGGCCGCCAUGAGCAACCUGGUGCCCCCCGUGGAGCUGGCCAACCCCGAGAACCAGUUCAGAGUGGACUACAUUCUGAGUGUGAUGAACGUGCCUGACUUUGACUUCCCUCCCGAAUUCUAUGAGCAUGCCAAGGCUCUGUGGGAGGAUGAAGGAGUGCGUGCCUGCUAUGAACGCUCCAACGAGUACCAGCUGAUUGACUGUGCCCAGUA
rnacentral:sRNA from 1 species